UGGGGGAUAUUGCACAAUGGGCGAAAGCCUGAUGCAGCGACGCCGCGUGGGGGAUGAAGGCCUUCGGGUUGUAAACUUCUUUUGCUCUGAACAAGGCGCACCAUGGGGAGUGUUGAGUGUAGGGGUUGAUUAGCGCCGGCUAACUACGUGCCAGCAGCCGCGGUAAUACGUAGGGCGCGAGCGUUGUCCGGAAUUAUUGGGCGUAAAGGGCUUGUAGGUGGCUGGUUGCGUCUGUCGUGAAAGCUCAUGGCUUAACUGUGGGUUUGCGGUGGGUACGGGCUGGCUUGAGUGCAGUAGGGGAGGCUGGAAUUCCUGGUGUAGCGGUGGAAUGCGCAGAUAUCAGGAGGAAUACCGGUGGCGAAGGCGGGUCUCUGGGCUGUUACUGACACUGAGGAGCGAAAGCAUGGGGAGCGAACAGG
rnacentral:rRNA from 1 species